CUGACUAUCUCUUGCUUGUAAUUUUUAAUUAUAGGAGGCCUGAAUGUGGAAGGGGAGGCAGACAACUGGGAUUUUGGUGUAGGCAUGUAGACUAGUGAAGACUACAACUUUAAUGCUAAGACAUGAUUUUUGAAUAUAUGUUGGUUUGUGGUUAAUGCUAAGACAUAAUUUUUGGAUAUAUGUUAGUUUGUGGUUUAAUGUUAAAACAUGAUUUUUGGAUUUUGAAUAUAUUAAUUAUGUAGGUAAUAGUGAUUGGAUAUUAAUUGAAUGAGAAAGUGAAUUAGUGCUUCAUUAUA